GGAGCCAUGAAGAAAUGAGAGAGGUUUUCUAAAUACUUCAUAAAUCUUCUGAGAAGUGUGCUAAGAAAGGAGGCACAGUAGCAUCUAAUUAUGUCAAAGGAGAACAAAGACUCAAGAGUUAUUUUACCUUCCGGCUUUUGUUAUACAAGAAGUCACUCACAAUCAGAAAGACUGGAGACUCUGAAAAUGUUUGGGGUGAUGACGGAUGAGGUCACUUCUAUCUUGCUUUGAGCCAGAAAUUCCAGAUGUCAUCAUGAACUGAAAUAUAAUUUGGGAAUGAUAGCAGCAAAACAUAACCAAAUGAAAGAUCACAAGUGCUGCACAAUUUCCUGAACAUCAGCCAAGCCAAUAAAAUGUGGGAUUAUGCAAA